rnacentral:rRNA from 1 species
UUAAUUGAAGAGUUUGAUCAUGGCUCAGAUUGAACGCUGGCGGCAGGCCUAACACAUGCAAGUCGAGCGGCAGCACAGAGGAACUUGUUCCUUGGGUGGCGAGCGGCGGACGGGUGAGUAAUGCCUGGGAAAUUGCCCGGUAGAGGGGGGAUAACCAUUGGAAACGAUGGCUAAUACCGCAUAACCUCGCAAGAGCAAAGCAGGGGACCUUCGGGCCUUGCGCUACCGGAUAUGCCCAGGUGGGAUUAGCUAGUUGGUGAGGUAAGGGCUCACCAAGGCGACGAUCCCUAGCUGGUCUGAGAG